GAUGAACGCUGGCGGCGUGCCUAAUACAUGCAAGUCGAGCGAACGGACGAGAAGCUUGCUUCGCUGAUGUUAGCGGCGGGCGUGUGAGUAACACGUGGAUAACCUACCUAUAAGACUGGGAUAACUUCGGGAAACCGGAUCUAAUACCGGAGAAUAUUUUGAACCGCAUGGUUCAAAAGUGAAAGACGGUCUUGCUGUCACGUAUAGAUGGAUCCGCGCUGCAUUGGCUAGUUGGUAAGGUAACGGCUUACCAAGGCAACGAUGCAUAGCCGAACUGAGAGGGUGAUCGGCCACACUGGAACUGAGACACGGUCCAGACUCCUACGGGAGGCAGCAGUAGGGAAUCUUACGCAAUGGGCGAAAGCCUGACGGAGCAACGCCGCGUGAGUGAUGAAGGUCUUCGGAUCGUAAAAAUCUGUUAUUAGGGAAGAACAUAUGUGUAAGUAAAUGUGCACAUCUUGACGGUACCUAAUAAGAAAGCAACGGCUAACUACGUG
rnacentral:rRNA from 1 species